rnacentral:lncRNA from 1 species
GUCCCUUUGGGGGGAGGGGCGCGGCCGGGGGGGGAGGGGAAUGGGGGGAAAUAAUGGGGAAAAAAUGGGGGAAAAUGGAAAAUUUGAGGGGAAAAAUGAGGGAAAAAUGGGAAAAGUGGAAGAAAAAUGGGAGAAAUGAGGGGAAAAAUGGAUGGAAAAGGAAAAGUGGAAGAAAAAUGGAAAAGAUGAGGGAAAAAAUGGAUGGAAAAGGGAAAAUGGAAGAAAAAUGGGAAAAAUGAGGGAAAAAAUGGAUGGAAAAAGGAAAAGUGGAAGGAAAAUGGAAAAAAUGAGGGAAAAAUGGAUGGAAAAAGGAAAAGUGGAAGAAAAAUGGAAAAAAUGAGGGAAAAAAUGGAUGGAAAAAGGAGAAAUGAGGGAAAAAAGGGAAAUUAAAGAGAAAAAGGAAAUGGGAAGAAAAAGGAGGAGAAAUGAAGGAAAAGAGGAAAAAAGGAGGAAAAAACGGAGCUGGGAGGAGAAAAUGAGGAGAGGAAAGGAAAAAAUGAAGGAAAUGGGAAAAGGAAGAGGAAAAACGGGAAAAAGCGGAAAAGGGAAGAGGAAAGUCGGGAAAAAAGGAAAAGGAGAAGAAAAAAAGUGGGAAAAAUGAAGGAAAAGUGGGAGAGGAAGAGAAAAAGGAAAAAGAAGGAAAAAAGAGGAAAAAAUGGAAAAAAGAAGGAAAAAAGAGAGAAAAGGGAAAAAGAAGGAAAAAAGAGAGGGAAAAAAAGAAAAAAAAAAAAAAAAAAAAAAAAAAUAUGAAAAAAAAAGAAAAAAAAAAACAGGAAAAAAAUAACCAAAAGAACGGAAAAAAGGGAAAAUUCCCCGGAAAAGACCAAAACCCCCCCGGCCCCUCCCCCCGCAGCCGCAGAUACCUCACGGACCCCAAAACCCCCGGAAUUCGCCCCAAAAUUCCAGAAAACUGUGAAAAACUAAAGGGGGAAAACGCCCCAAAAAUUCGCUUUUUUUGGGGACCAAAACCCCGAAUGUAGCCCCGCCCCCCGCCGCGGAUUUUGGGGCGUUUUGGGGCAAAAAAACGACCAAAAAGGGAGGGAAAAUGAGGGAAAAAAAGGGAAAUUUGGGUUUUUCUGGAGGGGGGAGGGGAACCCCCCCGGUUGGUUUUUUGGGGGGGUUUUGGGGUUGUUUGUUGGGAUUUUGGGAUUUUUAUUUUGAUGGGAAUGAGGAGGAAAGGAUGGAAAUUGAAAAAAAUGGGGAAAAUCAAAAAAAACACGGGGUUCGACCAAAAAAAGGAAAUGAGAGAAAAAAAAGGCCAAAAAUGGGGAAAAAAAGG